UAAAACUACAUGUUAAGAAUUCAGAAAUAA
rnacentral:piRNA from 1 species